rnacentral:tRNA from 1 species
GCCAGCAUGGCUCAGUGGUAGAGCGUCAACCUAUGAACCAGGAGGUCACUGGGGUUCGAUUCCCUGUCAGGGCA